CAGUUUGAGUCCCAGCACCAGCCAAUUAUGCUAAAGACCAUAGUAGCUUUCCAAUUAGAUGCUUGCAUUUGGGGCCCUGUAGCCCAGAGAGGUAAGACUGUAGUAGACUUGGCCCUCUGGGUAGUGUGAGGUGGACUUCAAGGGGAGUCAGGGGCUGCUCCUUCCUCUGCCUGUGCUGGCUGGACAUGGGUAGAAAUAUAAGGAGCUGGACAGAGAUCCUCCUGGGGAGUAGAAAGGGGGAGCAAGGGCCAUAACAAAAAAGGUCUCAUUCAAACAGCGGGCUUCUCAACCUGGUAUUGCCAUGUGGUAAUGUAUGGCACUUGGUCCCCAACUCUCAUAAAGUAAGCCUUCACCCUGUAAAUGAUGAGGGAGGGGGAGUGGAAAGUUUCCUUAGAUCAGAGGUGGGCCAUUUAUUCCUACAAUGAUGGUUAGUUUUCAGGACAAACAACCAGACCCAAGUCUUUUGCAACUCAUUGAAAGUCCUUAGAAUGGUUAAGGACAAGCCCAGUGAGAUGCACUGUGCCUGUCCCUUUCUAGGAAUCAAAGAAAAAUUUGUACAAGAGGACAAAAAGCACAAACAUAAUACAACACAGACAGAAACAGGAGGAUAUUCCUGGGAAACCAAAACCAAAAGGCUGUCUAAGAUGAUCUCUCUCCCUGUGCAUGGGAGGCCUAUAGACACACAGCUAGUUCAGAAUUCAGAUGAGAACUAGCAAGUUCUGCUUCUAGUAGAGGUUCAGGAGUGUCCUCAAUUGCCUCAGGCCAGUUGACAAAAUAUGCAUCCACUUUGUCCCUAUAGGCCUCAAACAGAAAGAUUAAACGUGAAGCGCAAACACAGAGAUGGACAAGACAAAAGACAACUGGGUGCCCAGAAUUACCGAUCAGAAAAACACUUCACUCUUUGAAUCAGGGGGUCUCUAGCAAAUCCUGGGUGUGAUUUAUGAUUUGUUGAAGAAUGGUAUCCAGGACUCAAAUAGAAUGGAAACACAAAGACUGUUUUAUUCUGCAAGAAGUCCAGCAUGCUGGGGGGGUCUCUCAGUCCAAGAUGGAGACCCCAAAGUGAGUUCAUGGGCCUCAUUUAAAGCACAUGAGGGGAAUUCUAGGGUAGAUGACUUCUAUCUUAAUCUGUUGAGGCCACAAGCUUGCUUAAAAUUCUUAAAAUUCUUAAAUGAAAUGUGUAUAUACUUUUUAACUUUUUGCUCUAGAUUCUUAGGAUCAGGUGUUUUACUCACUGGUGAAAGAGAAAAUCUUGUCAUAUCUUUUACCAUCUCUCAGGCUUCAUGCAAAAUCUCUUGUCUGGGAGACUUGUACCCUGACAUUAAAGGAGUUAAUUCUCUCUUGAAGAUUGUAAAACCUCCUCAUCAACCUCAGAAAGAAGGAAAGCAAUGAAAAAAGUGUCCAUGCUAUGAGGAACUGGACUUGAUUCACAAGUUUUAGGAGCAGAGAAAUUGGAGCUGGAGGGAAAGAUGACUGAAGUUCUCUAAUGAAUUUUAUCAACUGAUGACGUCCCUCUUACCUCCUUCCUCCAGCAACAAAGUUCAUAGAACUUCUAUGUCUUAGGUUUUCCAUUGCUGUGAAUAGACACCAUGACCAAGGUAACACUUAUAAAGACAGCUAGGAGCAGGGUCUCAAAGCCCACCUAUACAGUGACACAUUUCCUUCAACAAGGCUACACCUACUCCAACAAGGCUAUAUUAGCAUCUCCUAAUAGCACCAUUCCCUGGGACAAGCAUACACAAAUCACCACAUUCUACAAACAAAUGUCACUUCUUCAACACUGCCUGUUUUAACCUGAAAAACCUUUAACAUAUACCUCUCAAGGCAGCUAGGCCAGACCAACUCCAUAGUUCUCUACAGUUACCCAGGUAACAGGACCCCCAUAUGACUGUUGCUCCUCAUAGCAGGACAUCUUAUGGAUUCAGGAAACUCAAGAGCCUGUUGGCAACCCACAUGGAUGGUGUGGACAGAUAUAGAAAGACCACUUGCCAAAUAUGUCACAGAUUGAGCAAUCUGGGAACUUUCUAUUCUUUCUUGAAGGAUGCUGUUUGUACUGCCAGAUCAUCUGAGGCAAGCUUGUUAGGUACUAAAGAUAUACUAAGUCUGGAUACAAGUGAUGUAUAUUUUUUAAAUUAAAUGUGAUUUUUUUCCAAAGCAAAUGAGUUUUAGAAACACAUUUGAUCUUGUAAUAGUUCUAUCUUUAGAUCUUGGAUCCAACUUGCUGCAUCUUUCUGUCUGUAGUAGCUUUAACUUGUCUACUUGUGUUGUCCUAAAAAGACAUCUCACAGUUUCUAAGAGGAUCACAAGAGAUAGCACACAGUCUGUAAAGUA
rnacentral:lncRNA from 1 species